CGGGAGGCAACGCUCGAUCUUCUUCACCCAUCUCCUGUGCAUUAUCGUUGUGCCGGCGUCGUCGUGAACGCCGAGAGCAUUAAUUAGACGUAUUGGAAGUUGCAGUCGCGUAGUGAGGGCGGAUGAAGUUCCGUUAACAUGCUGAAGCCGUACCAGAGGAGCCGGUUCGGGCCGAGCAAGGUCGACUCGAAGAUGAGGUAGCAGAACCGACAUUGACUUGCGUUUGGUGAGUGAAAAACAAAUGGGAAUAAAAGUUAAAAGGUGAUGGGUGUAGGAGCUUUCAGAGUGACAAAAUCAAUGCGAUUCUUGCUUGCUGUAGAUUUUUAUAUGUUUGUUUUUGUCCAUGUACCACAUAUAUCACUCAAAACCAUUAGAAGGUCAUUUCUUCAAGUGUUUGUAUUAUUUAGCAGAAAUUUAAAGCCUUGAAUA